UUCUGGCUCAGGAUGAACGCUAGCGACAGGCUUAACACAUGCAAGUCAGGGGCAGUCACGGGAGUAGCCAAUACAACUGGUGGCGACCGGCGCACGGGUGAGUAACGCGUAUGCAACCUACCUAUCAGAGGGGAAUAACCCGGCGAAAGUCGGACUAAUACCGCAUAAACAGGGGCACGCAUGGUGAUAUUUGUUAAAGAAAUUCGCUGAUAGAUGGGCAUGCGUUCCAUUAGGUAGUUGGUGAGGUAACGGCUCACCAAGCCGACGAUGGAUAGGGGAACUGAGAGGUUGGUCCCCCACACUGGUACUGAGACACGGACCAGACUCCUACGGGAGGCAGCAGUGAGGAAUAUUGGUCAAUGGGCGGGAGCCUGAACCAGCCAAGUCGCGUGAAGGGAAAAGAAGGAUCUAUGGUUCGUAAACUUCUUUUGCAGGGGAAUAAAGUGCAGGACGUGUCCUGUUUUGUAUGUACCCUGAGAAUAAGGAUCGGCUAACUCCGUGCCAGCAGCUGC
rnacentral:rRNA from 1 species